GUUUGAUCCUGGCUCAGGAUGAACGCUGGCGGCGUGGAUAAGGCAUGCAAGUCGAGUGGGUUUAGGCCCACGGCAAACGGGUUCGGAAUACAUAGGAAUUUCCCUCAGAGUCGUGAAUAAUUCGGAGAAAUCCGAGCUAAUACACGAUACGCUCUACGGAGUAAAGAUUUAUCGCUUUGAGAUGAGCCUGUGUCCUAUCAGCUUGUUGGUGAGGUAAAAGCCCACCAAGGCUAUGACGGGUAGGGGGUGUGAGAGCAUGACCCCCAACAUUGGAACUGAGACACUGUCCAAACACCUACGGGUGGCUGCAGUCGAGAAUAUUCCACAAUGGACGAAAGUCUGAUGGAGCGACGCCGCGUGCGGGAUGAAGGCCCUCGGGUUGUAAACCGCUUUUUUCAGGGAGCAAUUUCGAUGAGAGUACCUGAAGAAUAAGAGGUUACUAACUCUGUGCCAGCAGUAGCGGUAAUACAGAGACCUCAAGCGUUAUCCGGAUUUAUUGGGCGUAAAGCGCAGGUAGGCGGGUUUAUUAGUCGGAUGUCAAAGACCGGGGCUCAACUCCGGGAAGGCAUUCGAAACGGUAUACCUAGAGAAUGUGAGAGAUGAGUGGAAUUCAUGGUGUAGUAGUGAAAUGCGUUGAUAUCAUGAGGAACACCGAAGGCGAAGGCAACUCAUUGGCACAUUUCUGACGCUGAGCUGCGAAAGCGUGGGGAGCGAAUGGGAUUAGAUACCCCAGUAGUCCACGCUGUAAACGAUGCAUACUAGGUGCAGGGAGAAUCGACCCUUUCUGUGCCGUAGCUAACGCGUUAAGUAUGCCGCCUGGGAAGUACGAGCGCAAGCUUAAAACUCAAAGGAAUAGACGGGGAUCCGCACAAGUGGUGGAGCAUGUGGUUUAAUUCGACGGUAAGCGAGGCACCUCACCAGGGUUUGAAAUCUAGCUGCAGGGCCCAGAAAUGGGACGUCCUUCGAGGGUGCUAGACCAGGUGCUGCAUGGUUGUCGUCAGCUCGUGUCGUAAGAUGUUCCGUUCAGUCGGGAAACGAGCGCAACCCUCAUGAAGUGUUACAUGUGUCACUUCAGACUGCCCCCUCAAAAGGGGAGAAUACUCAGUUUGUAUUCUCAAUUUUUGAGGGGGAGGAAGGCGAGGAUGACGUCAAAUCAGCAUGGCCCUUUGACACCCUGGGCGACACACGUGCUACAAUGGCCGAUAAUAAAGGGUUGCCAACCAGCGAUGGGGAGCUAAUCUCAAAAACUCGGUCUCAGUUCGGAUUGCAGGCUGCAACUCGCCUGCAUGAAGCUGGAAUCACUAGUAAUCGUGAAUCAGCCACGUCACGGUGAAUGCGUUCUCGGAUCUUGUACUCACCGCCCGUCACACCAAGAGAGCCGGCAAUACCAGAAGGCCCUGUUUCAUAUCGGGGACGACGGUAGGGUUGGUAAUAAGGGUGAAGUCGUAACAAGGCAUCCGUAGCGGAAGCUGUGGAUG
rnacentral:rRNA from 1 species